rnacentral:rRNA from 1 species
CAGUAACACGUAGUCAACCUACCCUAGGGACGGGGAUAACCUCGGGAAACUGAGGCUAAACCCCGAUAGGCUAUAGCCUCUGGAAUGAGCUAUAGCUGAAAUCUAUAUGGCCCUAGGAUGGGACUGCGGCCGAUCAGGUAGUUGGUGGGGUAAUGGCCCACCAAGCCUAUAACCGGUGCGGGCUCUGAGAGGAGGAGCCCGGAGAUGGGCACUGAGACAAGGGCCCAGGUCCUAUGGGGCGCAGCAGGCGCGAAACCUCCGCAAUGGGCGAAAGCCCGACGGGGUUAGUCCGAGUGGUCCCUGCUGAAGGGGCCUUUUGCCAGCUGUAAAAAGGCUGGCGAAUAAGGGGUGGGCAAGUUUGGUGUCAGCCGCCGCGGUAAUACCAGCACCCCGAGUGGUCGGGACGAUUAUUGGGCCUAAAGCAUCCGUAGCCGGCUUAGCAAGUCCUCCGUUAAAUCCAACGGCUUAACCGUUGGGCUGCGGAGGAUACUGCUAAGCUAGGGGGCGGGAGAGGCGAGGGGUAUUCCCAGGGUAGGGGUAAAAUCCGUUGAUCCUGGGAGGACCACCAGUGGCGAAGGCGCCUCGCUAGAACGCGCCCGACGGUGAGGGAUGAAAGCUGGGGGAGCGAACCGGAUUAGAUACCCGGGUAGUCCCAGCCGUAAACGAUGUAGGCUC